rnacentral:rRNA from 1 species
UACCGAGGGGGCAAGCGUUAUUCGGAGUUAUUGGGCGUAAAGGGCGCGUAGGCGGUUUCUUAAGUCAGAUGUGUAAUCCCCGAGCUUAACUUGGGAACUGCAUCUGAGACUGGGAGGCUAGAGUACUGGAGAGGGUGGUGGAAUUCCUCGUGUAGCGGUGAAAUGCGUAGAGAUGAGGAGGAACACCAGUGGAGAAGGCGGCCACCUGGACAGUAACUGACGCUGAGGCGCGAAAGUGUGGGUAGCAAACAGG